GACGAACGCUGGCGGCGUGCUUAACACAUGCAAGUCGAACGGAAAGGCCCUGCUUUUGUGGGGUGCUCGAGUGGCGAACGGGUGAGUAACACGUGAGUAACCUGCCCUUGACUUUGGGAUAACUUCAGGAAACUGGGGCUAAUACCGGAUAGGAGCUCCUGCUGCAUGGUGGGGGUUGGAAAGUUUCGGCGGUUGGGGAUGGACUCGCGGCUUAUCAGCUUGUUGGUGGGGUAGUGGCUUACCAAGGCUUUGACGGGUAGCCGGCCUGAGAGGGUGACCGGCCACAUUGGGACUGAGAUACGGCCCAGACGCCUACGGGAGGCAGCAGUGGGGAAUAUUGCACAAUGGGCGGAAGCCGGAUGCAGCAACGCCGCGUGCGGGAUGACGGCCUUCGGGUUGUAAACCGCUUUCGCCUGUGACGAAGCGUGAGUGACGGUAAUGGGUAAAGAAGCACCGGCUAACUACGUG
rnacentral:rRNA from 1 species